CUAAUACCGAAUGUGGCGAACGACCGGUUGGUCGCUCGCUAAAGGUGGCCUCUUCUAUGCUGCCGGAUUGGGAUCGGCCCGCGUCCCAUUAGCUAGUUGGUGAGGUAACGGCUCACCAAGGCCACGAUGGGUAGCCGGCCUGAGAGGGUGUACGGCCACACUGGCACUGAGACAAGGGCCAGUCCCCUAUGGGAGGCGCAGGCGGGAAUAGUUCACAAUGGGCGAAAGCCUGAUGACGCGACGCCGCGUGAGCGAAGAAGACCUUCGGGUUGUAAAGCUCUGUCAGGAGGGAAGAAGGCUCUACGGGUUAAUAGCCCGUGGAAUUGACGGUACCUCCAGAGGAAGCCCCGGCUAAAUACGUGCCAGCAGCCGCGGUAAUACGUAUGGGGCAAGCGUUGUCCGGAUUUACUGGGCGUAAGGGGCGCGUAGGCGGUUUGUUAAGUCGAAGGUGAAAUCCUCGGGCUCAACUCGAGAAUUGCCUUCGAUACUGGCAAACUAGAGUGGCGGAGAGGAAAGCGGAACUCUUGGUGUAACGGUGGAAUGUGUAGAUAUCAAGAGGAACACCGGUGGCGAAGGCGGCUUUCUGGACGCACACUGACGCUCAGGCGCGAAAGCGUGGGUAGCAAACAGGAUUAGAUACCCUGGUAGUCCACGCCAUAAACGAUGGGUACUAGGUGUCGGGGGUAUCGACCCCUCCGGUGCCGCAGUUAACGCACUAAGUACCCCGCCUGGGGAUUAUGGUCGCAAGGCUGAAACUCAAAGGAAUUGACGGGGCCCCGCACAAGCGGUGGAGCAUGUGGUUUAAUUCGACGCAACGCGAAGAACCUUACCUGGGCUUGACAUGCUUGGGACAGCGCUGGAAACAGCGUCUCUCCUUCGGGAGCCCUUGCACAGGUGCUGCAUGGCUGUCGUCAGCUCGUGUCGUGAGAUGUUGGGUUAAGUCCCGCAACGAGCGCAACCCUCGUUACUAGUUGCCAUCAGUUCGGCUGGGCACUCUAGUGAGACUGCCGGUGAUAAACCGGAGGAAGGUGAGGAUGAUGUCAAGUCAUCAUGGCCCUUACGCCCAGGGCUACACACGUGCUACAAUGGUCGGCACAAAGGGUCGCUAAGCCGCGAGGUGGAGCUAAUCCCAAAAAGCCGGCCUCAGUUCGGAUUGGAGUCUGCAACCCGACUCCAUGAAGGCGGAAUCGCUAGU
rnacentral:rRNA from 1 species